UACAGAGGGUGCGAGCGUUGUCCGGAAUCACUGGGCGUAAAGGGCGCGUAGGCGGCCUGAUAAGUAGGGGGUGAAAUCCUGCGGCUCAACCGCAGGGCUGCCUUCUAGACUGUCAGGCUCGAGCACAGUAGAGGCAGGUGGAAUUCCCGGUGUAGCGGUGGAAUGCGUAGAGAUCGGGAAGAACAUCGGUGGCGAAGGCGGCCUGCUGGGCUGUUGCUGACGCUGAGGCGCGACAGCGUGGGGAGCAAACAGG
rnacentral:rRNA from 1 species